AUUGAACGCUGGCGGCAGGCUUAACACAUGCAAGUCGAGCGGUAACAGAGAUAGCUUGCUAUCUGCUGACGAGCGGCGGACGGGUGAGUAACGCGUAGGAAUCUACCUGGUAGUGGGGGACAACAGUUGGAAACGACUGCUAAUACCGCAUACGCCCUACGGGGGAAAGCGGGGGACCUUCGGGCCUCGUGCUAUCAGAUGAGCCUGCGUCGGAUUAGCUAGUUGGUGGGGUAAUGGCCUACCGAGGCGACGAUCCGUAGCUGGUCUGAGAGGAUGAUCAGCCACACUGGGGACUGAGACACGGCCCAGACUCCUACGGGAGGCAGCAGUGGGGAAUAUUGGACAAUGGGCGCAAGCCUGAUCCAGCCAUGCCGCGUGUGAAGAAGGCCUUCGGGUUGUAAAGCACUUUCAUCAGU
rnacentral:rRNA from 1 species